CACCUCAUCGAAAAUAUGAGAUAAAAUGGAACAUUCCUCAUCGUAAAUAUGAGAUUCAAUGGCGUAUUCGGCCGCAUAAGCUGCAUCUGCAAUGCGAGACUCCAAUGGAUCCGCUUCUUUGAGUAGCCACGAUGGGGGUUAUAGCCUUGAAGAAAUUCGAGCAGGAAAUUAAUCUUUUGAGUGAGAGACUCAGCUUGUUGAAUGGAGAGAGAAAUAGGAGGGCGAGGAUGAUGCUGAAGGUUGUUUAUGAUAUGCAUAGCAGAAACUAGAGUUGCGUAAGCUGCUGCCAUGGCUUGUAUUAUUGCUUCGGAGUUGUGAAGGAAGAAGAUGAGACUGUGAUUUUCUAUUCUCAAAAUCUAACAAUACAUUCAAUUCAAUAUACUGUAUAACUCAAUUAUUGGAAACUUUUUCUUUUUAAGCUGUCAAAUCAC
rnacentral:lncRNA from 1 species